UACGUAGGGUGCAAGCGUUGUCCGGAAUUAUUGGGCGUAAAGAGCUCGUAGGCGGUCUGUCGCGUCUGCUGUGAAAACCUAGGGCUUAACUCUGGGCGUGCAGUGGGUACGGGCAGGCUAGAGUGCGGUAGGGAAGACUGGAAUUCCUGGUGUAGCGGUGAAAUGCGCAGAUAUCAGGAGGAACACCGGUGGCGAAGGCGGGUCGUCUGGGCCGUAACUGACGCUGAGGAGCGAAGCAUGGGGAGCGAACAGG
rnacentral:rRNA from 1 species